AUGUUGCUGUUACUUUGUCCAGAUCUUUUAAAGAUUAUUUAAAGACCUUAUUUUAUUUGUCUUGCUCUUGUGUACUUUUAUGUCUGUUGUUUGAAACUUUGUGUUCAUCGACAUCACCAUAUCUCCCUCCAUUCUCUUUUCUUCUACAAUGAUCAGCGACCUCGAAAUUGAGAGUUCCAAUUUCAACACCCCCCUCAAGUUGGAGGGGAGAGAAGCAACCCCCAACUUGCCAAGUAGAUUGUGAUGCGGAGAACCAUAUAAAGGUUUUGUGAACAGAUCUGCCAGUUGACACGAUGAAGGGACAAACGAGAGUGAAAUUAAACCAGAGAGGAAUUGUUGCCUAACAAAAUGGCAAUCAAGUUCGACAUGUUUGGUCCUUUCAUGAAAUAUCGAAUUCCAUGCGAUAUCAAUCGAAGCUUGACUGUCGGAGUGAAUUGGAACUGGAAGAGAGGGAGGAGUACCCAGAUAUGAAAGUAAACGAGUCAACCAAGUGAUCUCUGCCAUGACUCGUCGCAUAGAACGAUACUCUGCUUAUGCGGAGGAAAGGGAUACAUAAGAUUAUUUUUUCGAUUUACAGGAAAUUGGAGAUCCGCAUAGUGUGAUGAAAUAUCCACUAAUUGAUCGGCGAGAGUCUGUGCAAGAUCCCCAAUCGGCAUCGCAGAAAGAUAAAAGAUCGAGUUUGGGAUUAGCAGAGAGAAAAAGUCCCUGACCUGGGUCUGAAUGGAGAUAACGAACAACUCUGAGUGCAGCUGUGAAAUGGGGAAUCCUGGGUUGCUGCAUGAAUUGGCUUAGGUGAUGUAUUGAAAAAGAUAAGUCUGGUCUGGUGUGAGUUAGAUAGUUUAUUUUCCCAAAAAUUCUCCGAUAUGUAGUCGGAUCCUUCAACAACUCACCCGAUUCUGCAUUCUAUUUGUAGGAAGGAUCUAGAGGCAAUGAUACCAGUGGCAUAUGAUCACAAUUGUACUUGGCCUGAAGAUCCAAGGGUCCUGUUGUCUGAUUUUCUCAGAUGGUGAAUCAGGAGGAGAUGAAUGAUUAAAAGUUAAAGGUGAAGAUUCAUAUGAGAUGGGAGAAUCCAAAUUCACAGUUUUUAAUGAGAAUCAGAGGUGAUCAUAUCUGAGAUCUGAUGGAUGACAAAUUCUUCAUCAACUGGAGAUCCUUGGCUGGAAAAGAAAGGUGAAGACAAAUUGUCAAGGGCUAUUAAGAUAGAUCUUCUCCAGCCUCCAUAACCUUUUCCGUUGAAGGAUAAGUUCACCAGGUUCAUCCCUGGUGAAUCUGAAGCAUGAAGAAAAAAAAGGUGACUGUGAUCUGGUCCAACAUCUGUUGUAUUGACAGUGCUUGAAGUUGUUCCAGAGGUGACCUCAGAUGUUCUAGUCAUCCUUUGAGUUUUAGAUGAAUGCUGUGCAAAUCAAUGAAGAAAAGAAUUAAUUAGAGAUUAGGAUCUCAAAGCUGCUUCUAAUACCAUGUAGGAAUUUAGAGAAUUUGGAGAAUUUUUCUUGUGUAUUCAUUUCUGGUGAAUAAUGUAUAUAUACAUGUAUCCUAAUAAAAUAAAAUAAAAAUGCUUAAAUACAGUAUUUA